rnacentral:rRNA from 1 species
AGGCCGAAAGGCGUAGUCGAUGGGAAACAGGUUAAUAUUCCUGUACUUGGUGUUACUGCGAAGGGGGGACGGAGAAGGCUAUGUUAGCCGGGCGACGGUUGUCCCGGUUUAAGCAUGUAGGCUGGUUGUCCAGGCAAAUCCGGAUAAUCAAGGCUGAGGUGUGAUGACGAGGCACUACGGUGCUGAAGUAACAAAUGCCCUGCUUCCAGGAAAAGCCUCUAAGCAUCAGGUAACAUCAAAUCGUACC